UUUUAGGUAUGCCACAUCAGCGGGCCUAUGUUCUCCCUUUAUGUAUGUAUAGAUUGUCCAACCCUGACAGAAUUGAAACUCUUCAAUUGUGUUCUCAAACCACCAAAAUAUUUUCUUGGCUUUCAAAGUCUUACAACACUUUAUCUGAUAAAAGUAACCUUUGUGUCAACUACCAAAAAUUGUCUUAUAAAUGUCCCGUUUCUUGUCAAUCUGACCUUGAGGCACUGUAAUGGUACUCAAUACCUCAACAUUGCUUCAGCUGGGUUGAUGUCCUUGCAUAUUUGUGAGAUUCCCUAUAUUCUUGACCUAAAUUGCUUUAUGAAUUGCAGAAAAUUGACAUAUUUAUAUCUCGAGGUUAAGAAUUCUUCAAUGCCCACCGAAAGAUUAACUUUGGAAAAGCUUCUUCUUAGCUUGACUACACUUAAAGUACUUACUUUGGGUUCACUUGAACUUGAGCUUUUGAGUGCAAGUGCAGUUCCAAAAGGGCUUCCUUUUACGCUCAACUACUUGUGGCAUCUACAGAUAGGUGUAGACUUCAUCCAAAUUGGCCAGAUAUAUUAUGCUCUCAAGUUGAUUAAGAGUCCCCCUAUUUGAGUAAACUUGAGAUUUCGGUCUAUGAUUCUUGCAAUACGACUGAAGCAAUUUUGAAAUAUAUGGACACACCGGCCUGCUUGGACCCACCGCUCAACAAGCUCGAAGAUGUUACUAUGCAUAUUUUAAGGGUUUAAAAACUGAACUAUUUUUCAUAAAGCUAUUGCUUUCUCAUACUACAGCUCUGGUAAGGAUGAGAAUCAAGCCGGUUGGUUCCUUGGAAAAAUGGAAUAUUGCAAUAAAAUUGAUGUCUUACCCUAGAGCAUCUCCCAAGGCAAAGCUAUUAUAUUCUAUUUGACUAAUGUGUAUUAGGAUUUUUAGUCAGUCGAUUUGUGUUUUGAUGCUACAAAGGCAUGAUGUUAUCUGUUCUCAGUGUGUUCCUUUAAUUCCUUUUACAAAUAUGUUCUUAAAUGUUUUGAAAGUUCGUCUAAAUGAUGUGUGUGAUAAGAUUAGCAGUCCCUUUGCUCAUAUCUUCCAUAUGGAUUGGGAUGGACAGGAAGACUUCAUAAACAUUACAACUUGGGUGAUCCAAGUAAUGACUAAUAACCGAUCAACCGUAAAGCACUUAUGCAGUCCAUUACCCUACAUGUUCCGAAAAUCAAACUCCACAUCUUCCCUGUUUUCACCUAUCAAAACCAAGAAAAAAAACAAAAAAAAACAAAAACAAAGCAAGACUAGAAUAGAAAAAAAGUGCCGCUACUCACAGGACGAAGCAAAGGGAAACAAACCAACUUUUGGAUAAUUGGAGAGACGCAUUGAAUAUUUUAUAAAGAUCUCUUGGUUCUAUCUUCCAUUCACUUGGCUAUAAAAGACACUUUGUGCCUAUAAUUUUGAGACUCUAAUUUAACGUUACGGAAUCACCAUGACUCAAGGUAUAAAAUUCUCCUUUUUCCCCUCUAUUUAGA